rnacentral:rRNA from 1 species
AUGGGAGCUUGCUCCCUGAUGUUAGCGGCGGACGGGUGAGUAACACGUGGGUAACCUGCCUGUAAGACUGGGAUAACUCCGGGAAACCGGGGCUAAUACCGGAUGGUUGUCUGAACCGCAUGGUUCAGACAUAAAAGGUGGCUUCGGCUACCACUUACAGAUGGACCCGCGGCGCAUUAGCUAGUUGGUGAGGUAACGGCUCACCAAGGCGACGAUGCGUAGCCGACCUGAGAGGGUGAUCGGCCACACUGGGACUGAGACACGGCCCAGACUCCUACGGGAGGCAGCAGUAGGGAAUCUUCCGCAAUGGACGAAAGUCUGACGGAGCAACGCCGCGUGAGUGAUGAAGGUUUUCGGAUCGUAAAGCUCUGUUGUUAGGGAAGAACAAGUGCCGUUCAAAUAGGGCGGCACCUUGACGGUACCUAACCAGAAAGCCACGGCUAACUACGU